rnacentral:rRNA from 1 species
CCUACGGGGGGCAGCAGUGGGGAAUAUUGCACAAUGGGCGCAAGCCUGAUGCAGCCAUACCGCGUGUGUGAAGAAGGCCUUCGGGUUGUAAAGCACUUUCAGCGGGGAGGAAGGCGUUAAGGUUAAUAACCUUGUCGAUUGACGUUACCCGCAGAAGAAGCACCGGCUAACUCCGUGCCAGCAGCCGCGGCAAUACGGAGGGUGCAAGCGCUAAUCGGAAUUACUGGGCGUAAAGCGCACGCAGGCGGUCUGUCAAGUCGGAUGUGAAAUCCCCGGGCUCAACCUGGGAACUGCAUUCGAAACUGGCAGGCUAGAGUCUUGUAGAGGGGGGUAGAAUUCCAGGUGUAGCGGUGAAAUGCGUAGAGAUCUGGAGGAAUACCGGUGGCGAAGGCGGCCCCCUGGACAAAGACUGACGCUCAGGUGCGAAAGCGUGGGGAGCAAACAGGAUUAGAUACCCCUGUAGUC